GCUGCAUCCUUAACCCACUGAGCAAGGCCAGGGAUCAAACUUGCAACCUCAUGGUUCCUAGUUGGAUUCAUUAACCAUUGAGCCAUGACAGGAACUCCAGCGUAGAGAAUUCUAUCCAGUUUUCUGCAAUAAUCUAUGCGACAAAAGAAUCAGAGAGAAUGGAUAUGUGUGUAUGUAUACCUGGGUCACUUUGNGACUUUGUCAUACCACAGAAAUUAUCACAGCCUUGUAAAUAAUCUAUACUUCAAUAAAACUUAAAAAACCAUACACACAAAAAAUAAUUGUACUAUACAUGUAAGUACCUUCUGUUCCCUUCCACCUUAAUAUAAUUUAAAACAGUUCCUCAUAAUUUCAUGUCUCUGAAUACAUCAGAUUUAAUGUCUGCAUACUAUUCCAUCAAGUAAAUAUACCAUCUUUUUUUAAAGGGUCGUACAUGGCAUAUGGAAGUUCCCAGGCUAGGGCUCAAACUGGAGCUUCAGCUGCUGUCCUAAGCCACAGCCACAGCAAUGUGGGAUCUGAGUUGCAUCUAUGACCUACAGCACAUCUCAUGGCAAUGCUGGGUCCUUCAUCCACUGAGUGAGGCCAGGGAUCGAACCCAUGUCCUCAUGGACGCUAGUUGGGAUCCUUUCUGCUGAGCCACAAUGGGAACCCCCCCAUCACUUAUUUAACCCUUCCCAAAUCAUUCAAAAUAGGAGGUUUUUUUAGUUCUUUCUUAGUCAUAUUUACAGCUCCAAUAUUAUCAGUGAGAUUGGGUAUGUUAAGUAUUAAUAAAUGAGUCCAAAGAAUGUCUUCUAUUUAGGAAACAUUCCUUUAUUUUUAUUUUAUUUUUAUUUUUAUUUUUUUGUCUUUUGUCCUUUUAGGGCCACACCAGCAGCAUAUGGAGAUUCCCAGGCUAGGGGUCUAAUGGGAGCUGUUGCUGCCAGCUUACGCCACAGCCACAGCAAUGCCAGAUCCGAGCUAUGUCUGAGACCCACACCACAGCUCACAGCAAUGUCGGAUCCUUAACCCACUGAGCAAGGCCAGGGAUCACACCUGCAACCUCAUGGUUCCUACUUGGCUUUGUUUCCGCUGUGCCACGACGGGAACUCCUAUUCCUUUAUUAUCUUACUCUUUUGAUGAACUUUAAUCCCAAGUACAGAAUAGUAACUGAAUUUGCCACAGAAUUAGGAGGAAUGGGAAAGGUGGAAAAGCUAUGUGAAGGUUUUGGUUUGAAGCUUUUCCUUUGGAAACACAACAGAUUAUAGUUCUUGUGGUUAUCAUGGCUAUUCCACAUAGAUGAUUUUGUGUUUGUAAGAAUUUGCCUCUCCCUGAAAUAGUUUAUUUGAUGCUGUUAACAACAGAGAAUACUUGUCAGUACUACCAAGGGAAUAGAAGCGAGGCAACACAACAUCUAUUCCAAAACAUCAAAUGGGCUAUGUGUGCUUAUAUAUCAAGCUUGUGCUUAUAUGUGAAAGCUUGAUAUUUCCUUUGGAAAGGGCAGAACUGUCUUGAGGCUCAAGGAAAUGUCACAAAAUGAAUAAAUGGGGAUUAAUUAUAGAAACUCCUGCUUAAAUAUUUGGCCUUAUUUACCAACAUCAGGAUUUGCUUUAGCAUGUCAGUGGGAGGAGAGAGUGGGGAGGAGGGUAAGAGAUGAGUGGGAGCAGCACUUUCCACUUGACCACAAAUGUACAAAUAGUAACGCUAAUGCUGGCUGAGCAAAGCCUGACAGACAAGGGUUUGCAGAAAUAAAUUAUUUAUUUGAAAAAUAUUACAGUGGUAUUUUAUACAUUGGUUUCCAUUGCAUAAAGUCAAGUCUAGGGGAAGAAAUAAGGGAUUUGGAUUCAGACUUGGGUUCCUAUCCCAUCUCCAAUCCCUAGACUUCUGAGAUCCUAAACAAGUCUUUUCUUCUUUUUUGCUUUUGAGGGCUGCACCAGUGGCAUAUGGAAGUUCCCAGGCUAGGGGUUGAAUCGGAGCUACAGCUGCCAGCCUAUGCCACAGCCACAGCCACGGCAGAUCUGAGCCACAUCUGCAACCUAAACCACAGCUCAUGGCAAUACCAGAUCCUUAACCCACUGAGCAAGACAAGGGAUCCAACCCGCAUCCUCAUGGGUACUAGUGGGAUUCGUUUCUGCUGUGCCAAAACGGGAACUCCCCUAAGCAAUUGUUUUAACUUCUCUGGUCUUUAGAUUUCUCAUCUGUAAAAUAGGAAUAAUAAUGCUUGCUUUGCCAAACUGACAUAAAAGAAAAAAGAAGCCAGAACUUACCUCCCAUAGAGAGAAGGUAUUCAAAAGUGGGAACUGCUAUUAUGAUCAUAUCAUGUCACAUAUUGUUGUGCAGAAAACAAAUAGGAAAAUGGAUUUUGUUUAAGGUAAAAGGCAAUUGGCUUGAGAAACAGGCUUGGAAGAAUAGAUUAUCACAGCACUACUGCCUUUUUUAGGUCCUCUACAACCUGGUUUAUCUGACACUGUUUUAAAUCCCUGGGUCUCCAUUUGUUGACACAAGCCCAUGUAUGUCAUCUGGAGACUUCCAAUGCCUGCUCACCUAUCAUAGGUGAGCCAAUCAUUUUAUUUUUUCUGGUCCAUAUAUAAUAGGAAUCUCUAAAAUGACACCAUCAUUUGCAUAAAAUUUGGAGGAGUAUCUGCCAUGACAGUGUCCACUGGACUUAUUCUACCUGAAGUUUCUCAUCUGAGUUCUGUGAAGUGCUCUUGCAAGUAAGGUCAGCCAAGCGAAGAGCCUAACUGUGCUUAGAGUCUCCUUUAUACUUGGACUAUUUUUUUUUUCCCCCAAAUAAUAUCAGUAGAAAGAGCUUUGGUUAUUUAAGUGAGAACAAGAAGUUCACAAAUAAAGCCUCUUUCUUUGUGCCCUGUUCCUUCAUCUGGACAAAAUGCUAAUGAACAUAAGGAAAUGCCAAAUCCUUUUGGAAGCCAGCAAGACAUAUUAAUGAUGUAAAAGUGGAUAUGGGAAAUCAGGGGAAAGAGAGAGAAAUGUGAAUUAGCAUAUGAAAAUACUCCAAUAGACUUAGAGUAUUUUCCAACUUCAAGUUUGAGGUUCAGAAGAGUAGUAAUAAAAAUUAACUUUCUUCCCAACAUGUAACAUGGAGAAAGUAAAAUCAAGAUAAUUGUCAGGGGGUAGUUUAGCUUUGGUGAGUUAGUGUGACUGAAUGAGAAGAAUGAUGCUGAAUUAAGUUCUUUCAAGGCAAAUGCAAUUAUCUUAAAAAAAAAAAAAAAAACUAUUAUUUUCCUUCUUAAGCUGGGCUUCUCCAGCAAUUACCUUUCCUACUUCACUUAUACCAGGAAGGAAGUUUGCUAUCCAGGAUACAUAGGAAAGUACCAAAAAUUGAUGUUUAUCUGAGAAGAUAAAAAACAAACAAACAAACAAACAAACAAAAAAACAACUAAGGCCCCCUUUCCUGAAAAAUGCCUUUCCUCAGAUGUAAUGAGCGUUAGAAUCAUCCCAUCCUGUCUGUAUCUCUUUUCCAGAGGAAAUAUGAUGGGUAUCAUUCCUACUGUUAUGUCUAGAACCCUCGUAUUUUGCUGUUGUCUUAAAUUGAAUCUUUUAAUUUGCGAGCAAAGAAAGCCUUUUCUCAUCUGACCUUUCCAAUCACCUAGAAUGAUGUUUCUGCUAUUCCAUGACUAUGCUCAGUGAGGCCACGAGGGUUUAAGGACCUCUCCAGUGGCACACUAUUGGUGCGGAGGAAAUGUGACAAAUGAUGGCCUCAUAAACCCUGGUCCCUAUUCUUCUGGACUUAUUGAAUCAAUCUAUUUUUAUCUUAGGGACCACAGACAAGAGUGGAAAAGAUAAAAUACAGGUACGUAGACAUUUGUGUCGGGAGACUGGGAGAUACAAUGCACACAAUAAACACUGUUGAUCUAAACUGGUAGAAAGAACUAAAAUAAAGAUAGUAAGUUUGAGAACAUUGGGUCAAAGAUGUCAUGUUAGCUGGGGUGAGAGAAAAGUCACAUGGAACAAGUGGAAUUCAAACAACAUGGAAGACACUCUUGAUAAUGCAUCUUAUUGAGCUCAGGCCAGCAUGUAAAGAGGCAAGAAUACUUUAUCUAUUUUCCAGGGUGAAUGAAGGUCAAGCAGAGUCUUAGAAGUUAGGAUGAUUUUGCCUGUUCCACACAUACCUAAACACUGUCAUCUUUAAUUUGGCUGAGGCAUGAAUUUGAUCACAUGAUGUGAGUUGAGACAGUUCCUUACCUGUUGAGUGAUUCUUGGACACCAUCCAACACUCUCAUNGCUCCUUUUUUUCUUUCUUAUUUUUACUUCUUGCAAUAAGUUUCAAGGAGGGCAAAAUAUCAUUGAUGGACAUCAAGGGAGAGUUAAAACUUGAAUAUAGAUACUAUCAUGAACAGAAAUGCCAUGAUUCUUGAGGAAAAUGAGAUUUCUGAGAAAGCUAAGAGACUGUAUAAAUAUAUACUUAUCUGUGUUUGGGGAUUUUCUGAAGUGUUGGUACAUACGCCUUGUUAAAGUCAAAUUUACUGUAUUACUAUCUGGAAUACGCAUAUCGGAUGUCUUUGAAUUUGGUUAAUUUAUAUAAGAUUUUUCUUUCCUACAAAGCAGAGAGGCACCAGGACCUGCAGCAUAAGACAGAAAUGAGGUUCAAGGCCCAAAAAUGAAGUCAAGCACAUCAUUGAUUUAAUGACAAUCAUCCUGAAGAGUCUGUAAUAAGCACUACAUAAUCAGGAAGUGGUGGUUUCUAUUCAGAAUGGCCUGCUGUAGAUGACCUAUUAUACAUCAAUGUGACAGUAACUUCCUGCAUCCAACAUGAACUGUUUUGAUUCAGAAAAUGACUGCUCUUAGUGUCAAGAC
rnacentral:lncRNA from 1 species